UUGCUUAAAUAAGCGACUAUGCGUCUAC
rnacentral:sRNA from 1 species